rnacentral:rRNA from 1 species
CUCAGGACGAACGCUGGCGGCGUGCUUAACACAUGCAAGUCGAACGGUAAGGCCCUUCGGGGUACACGAGUGGCGAACGGGUGAGUAACACGUGGGUGAUCUGCCCUGCACUUCGGGAUAAGCCUGGGAAACUGGGUCUAAUACCGGAUAGGACUCCUGGCUUCAUGGUUGGGGGUGUAAAGCUUUUGCGGUGUGGGAUGGGCCCGCGGCCUAUCAGCUUGUUGGUGGGGUAAUGGCCUACCAAGGCGACGACGGGUAGCCGGCCUGAGAGGGUGACCGGCCACACUAGGACUGAGAUACGGCCCAGACUCCUACGGGAGGCAGCAGUGGGGAAUAUUGCACAAUGGGCGCAAGCCUGAUGCAGCGACGCCGCGUGAGGGAUGACGGCCUUCGGGUUGUAAACCUCUUUCAAUAGGGACGAAGCGCAAGUGACGGUACCUAUAGAAGAAGGACCGGCCAACUACGUG